rnacentral:rRNA from 1 species
AGUGAACGCUGGCGGUAGGCCUAACACAUGCAAGUCGAACGGCAGCACAGUAAGAGCUUGCUCUUACGGGUGGCGAGUGGCGGACGGGUGAGGAAUACAUCGGAAUCUACUUUUUCGUGGGGGAUAACGUAGGGAAACUUACGCUAAUACCGCAUACGACCUACGGGUGAAAGCAGGGGAUCUUCGGACCUUGCGCGAUUGAAUGAGCCGAUGUCGGAUUAGCUGGUUGGCGGGGUAAAGGCCCACCAAGGCGACGAUCCGUAGCUGGUCUGAGAGGAUGGUCAGCCACACUGGAACUGAGACACGGUCCAGACUCCUACGGGAGGCAGCAGUGGGGAAUAUUGGACAAUGGUCGCAAGCCUGAUCCAGCCAUACCGCGUGGGUGAAGAAGGCCUUCGGGUUGUAAAGCCCUUUUGUUGGGAAAGAAAAGCAGCAGGUUAAUACCACGCUGUUCUGACGGUACCCAAAGAAUAAGCACCGGCUAACUUCGUG